UACGUAGGGUGCAAGCGUUAAUCGGAAUUACUGGGCGUAAAGCGUGCGCAGGCGGCUUUGCAAGACAGAUGUGAAAUCCCCGGGCUCAACCUGGGAACUGCAUUUGUGACUGCAAGGCUAGAGUACGGUAGAGGGGGAUGGAAUUCCGCGUGUAGCAGUGAAAUGCGUAGAUAUGCGGAGGAACACCGAUGGCGAAGGCAAUCCCCUGGACAUGUACUGACGCUCAUGCACGAAAGCGUGGGGAGCAAACAGG
rnacentral:rRNA from 1 species